rnacentral:rRNA from 1 species
AUUGAACGCUGGCGGCAUGCCUUACACAUGCAAGUCGAACGGCAGCACGGGAGCAAUCCUGGUGGCGAGUGGCGAACGGGUGAGUAAUAUAUCGGAACGUGCCCAGUCGUGGGGGAUAACGUAGCGAAAGCUACGCUAAUACCGCAAACGAUCUAUGGAUGAAAGCGGGGGAUCGCAAGACCUCGCGCGAUUGGAGCGGCCGAUAUCAGAUUAGGUAGUUGGUGAGGUAAAGGCUCACCAAGCCGACGAUCUGUAGCUGGUCUGAGAGGACGACCAGCCACACUGGGACUGAGACACGGCCCAGACUCCUACGGGAGGCAGCAGUGGGGAAUUUUGGACAAUGGGCGCAAGCCUGAUCCAGCAAUGCCGCGUGCAGGAUGAAGGCCUUCGGGUUGUAAACUGCUUUUGUACGGAGCGAAAAGGCUUCCACUAAUACUGGGGGCUCAUGACGGUACCGUAAGAAUAAGCACCGGCUAACUACGUGCCAGCAGCCGCGGUAAAAC